AUUGAACGCUGGCGGCAGGCCUAACACAUGCAAGUCGAGCGGAUGAAGGGAGCUUGCUCCUGGAUUCAGCGGCGGACGGGUGAGGAAUGCCUAGGAAUCUGCCUGGUAGUGGGGGAUAUCGUCCGGAAACGGGCGCUAAUACCGCAUACGUCCUGUGGGAGAAAGUGGGGGAUCUUCGGACCUCACGCUAUCAGAUGAGCCUAGGGCGGAUUAGCUAGUUGGUGGGGUAAAGGCCUACCAAGGCGACGAUCCGUAACUGGUCUGAGAGGAUGAUCAGUCACACUGGAACUGAGACACGGUCCAGACUCCUACGGGAGGCAGCAGUGGGGAAUAUUGGACAAUGGGCGAAAGCCUGAUCCAGCCAUGCCGCGUGUGUGAAGAAGGUCUUCGGAUUGUAGAGCACUUUAAGUUGGGAGGAAGGGCAGUAAGUUAAUACCUUGCUGUUUUGACGUUACCAACAGAAUAAGCACCGGCUAACUUCGUG
rnacentral:rRNA from 1 species